GCUCCUCCUUGCCUUCCACCACGAUCGUGAGGCCUCCCCAGCUAUGUGGAACUGGUUACUCUGUCAUGAGUUGCUGUGAUGGCCUGAGUUGGUUGACCUCUAGCCAGGAGGUGGGACUUACAAGAGAGCACCAACUGCAGUAAUAGAAGGGGGAUAGAAGCUUGCCCUAAGUUGGCCAGGAAAUAGGACAGACGAACAGAGUGGGACGAGAAAAUUCCUUCAAGAAUCACAGUUGUUGUGGAUCCCAAGGUACACAUGCCUGCCUGGACCUCAUCCCUUCUACCGACAGAACUCAGCAGUCAUUUAUUUGAGGACAAGCAGCAGAUCAUAUUCUAUAUGCCAACAUACGUAUCUGGGGAGACUGGCUGGUUGCAAGGGUUUGUAACCACCUUCCAGGCAGAUGACAAGAUGGAACCUUCUCGACAUACACCUCAGUUACAAGUCAAGUCAAUAAAAGCCUGGUUGCACGAAAGAGGACAAUGCAUAAAGACUGGCUGUAUAUCUUUGUUUGGUUUGAGUAAGAAAUGCUUCCAUUCAAUGAGGCCACUGAGUUUAUGAUCAAAUCUCCUGGUAAAGAAUAGAGCACAGAGAAACCCACAUUCUUACCGUGUGACAAAUGAGACUGUGAACAUGGACCCUUCUUUAAAACUCCAGCUAAUUCAGGUUGCAGAAUGAAGUGUGCCAUGUCAUAAUUAAUCCCUCAUGUAUUGCAAGCAAUUUAAUGUCAAAAUAAUCGACAGGAGCGUUUUUUACCCUUUUGUGAGUACAUAAUAAAUACUGUCAUUUAGCUGCAGCAAACAUUGGAUUUCUUUCCUGGUCUUUGAAUAACGCUCCUUGUGAGGUAAACACCAGACCUCCUUCUCCAUCUCCCCCUCCCCAAGCCCUA